CGGCCAGAGGAGAAACAGCGACCUGCCUUUCUCACCUGAAACAAUAACAUAUUCUGGAAAAAUGAGAGAUCGAUUCCAUGAUCCUUUUUUGAUCUGUAGCUGUGGCUGGGCAGCUGGGGUAUCUAUCUAUCAUUGAUUUUGCAAGUGGCGAAUGAUGGUUCGGUUCCCUUCAGAUAAUGAGACCGAACCACAGGUUGAAGGACACCGAAAUGGUAGCAGCACUCCGCUAUUUUUGUUUCAACUCACGCAUGGAUGAUGGAUGCUUGAGAAUAGUGGGUUAACUCGAACAUUCCUUUCUUCGUCUCCAACCAGCGCGGGCACCUGCAAAGCAUGCAUGUGUCCGCUACAUCAGGUGAGCCUCGCUUUAAUCAUAUCGACAAAAAAACCAAAGCGAGUGGAGAAGCUUGAUUAUAGCAAAAGGGCAAAGCAAAACAUUGGAUGAUGAACCUAGUCAGAGCAUAACAUCCCGCUGCCAUUGAUCAUAUCGAUCUGAGUGCCGCCUACACGUAGGCCUCUCAUUCUGAUCUCCAGUCAUUAGGUUACCAAGUUGUAUUACUUUG
rnacentral:lncRNA from 1 species